CCCUUAGAUGUCCUGGGCCGCACGCGCGCUACACUGAGUGUCUGAGAUACGAGUCUGCCUGGUCCGGCAAGGUCUAGGUAAUCGCUAAAAGACACAUCAUGCUUGGGAUAGAUUAUUGCAAAUAUUAAUCUUGAACGAGGAAUUCCUAGUAAGCGCAAGUCAACAGCUUGCGUUGAUUACGUCCCUGCCCUUUGUACACACCGCCCGUCGCUACUACUGAUUGGAUGUUUAAGCGAGGUUCUCGAACUGCUAGCGACUUAGCUUCGGUGAGGUCGCAGUGUGGGAAGUGAACCUAGCUUUGGUGUCUAGAGGAAGUAAAAGCCGUAACA
rnacentral:rRNA from 1 species